ACAUCCAAGGAAGGCAGCAGGCGCGAAAAUUACUCAAUCCUAACCCAGGGAAGUAGUGACAAGCAAUACCGAUAGGGAUCCUUUUGGAUUCUUUGUUGGAAUGGGCGUAAUUUAAACCCCUACGUGAGUACCCACUGGAGGGCAAGUCUGGUGCCAGCAGCCGCGGUAAUUCCAGCUCCAGUAGCCUAUCCACAUGUUGUUGCAGUUAAAAAGCUCGUAGUUGAAUGUCUGGGAUUUGAGUCUGCCGCUCAGCGGCGACUCUGCCCGCCCCGCCGAAAGGCGCUUUUACUGUGAAAAAAUUAGAGUGUUCCAAGCAGGCCUAGCCUGAAUACCUUAGCAUGGAAUAAUAACAUAGGACUGUCUGUGAUGUUGUUGGUUUGCAUCCAGCGGUAAUGAUUAAUAGGGACGAUCGGGGGCAUUUCUAUUCAGCAGUCAGAGGUGAAAUUCUUGGAUUUGCUGAAGAGAAACUGCUGCGAAAGCGUCUGCCAAGGGCGUUUUCAUUAAUCAAGAACGAAAGUCAGGGGAGCGAAGAGGAUUAGAUACCCUCGUAGUCUUGACCAUAAACCAUGCCGACUCGGGAUUGGUGUUCGCCGCAGGGCACAUCAGCACCGUAUGUAAAAACAAAGUCUUUGGGUUCCGGGGGGAGUCUGGUCGCAAGGCUGAAACUUAAAGGAAUUGACGGAAGGGCACCACCAGGAGUGGAGCCUGCGGCUUAAUUUGACUCAACACGGGAAAACUUACCAGGUCCGGA
rnacentral:rRNA from 1 species